AAGAGCAUCUCCCCACUCUCAGCCUCAUCUUGGUUCCAAUGCUGUGCUCCGUCAGGCCUGGAGAGAUACAAGCUGGAGACCACUCUGGGUGCUGCAGCCGAUGUCUUUGAGAGCACUUGUCCACAGUGACCAGAUCUCCAUUUAUGGUUUCUUUACUGGAAGAGCAGGAUCAGUUUACGGGCAGCUAAAGUAAUUAAACAGGCUGUGGUCAGUGAGAGCAGUAUUAUGGUUGUGUCUCAGGCUUAGAUCAUUUAUCGAAAGCAUACAGAAGAGAAAACAGCAAGGUAGCCAUCAGUAAUGGAUUCCAACAUCUGGCUGAGACCCAAAUAGCCCUGAAAUGAACAGAGCUGAUGUCAGCAUUACGAUGGAGUUCAGUCAAAGCCUGAACCUAGCUCUGAGAUGGGAAAGCUGAGAUGCUGAAGGCUCUUCAGAGACUUAGGAAAACUGAAGUAGAUGGAAACUGUGCUCCAAAGGGACUUACGCUCACCCACAAAGAGCCCUCUAAAAGCUUUUACUGAUUCAUAGCAAGGUGCAAGUAGGCACAAAUGCUAAUGUAUCUGUUGGAAGGACAGCACAGCCAAGCAGAAGCAAUCAAGAAGUUUUCUGGCAAACCCAGGCAACAUCUUGGUGCAUAUUAUCAGUCAACAGAAUAGAGAUACUAUCUUGUUGGACCUGGUACUCAAAAAACGAGAAAGAAAUAAAUGGCUUAAGAUAUGAAGAUCAGAGGCAACUUUGGCUGUAGCAACCGCGAUAUGGUGACGCUUAAGAUUCUGAGAGAAGUGAUCAAAACAAUACUACCACCAUGGAAUUUAGAAAUGCUGAUUUUGUUCUUUUUGGGGCCUCCCAUGUCUCCAAGCGUAGUAGUAGCUUGUAGGAGUAAGGCAGAACCAGAGGAGAGUGGAUCAAGUUAGGGACCAGUUGAGCCAGUUAGACGUAAAGAAGUCUGUGAGCCCAGAAAAUUAAAGGGCAAACAUUGCACUCAUCUUCAAGGACAAGAAGAGGAUGGAUCCAAGCAACUGGAUCCUGUAGGCCAUUUGGCCUCACCACAGUACCUGGAAGGGAAUGGAACAAGUCCUCUUAAAAGCCAUUUCUAAACACAAGAGACUAGGAGGCAAUUCAAAAGAGCCAACAUAGGUAUACCAAGGGCAAAUCCUGCCCAACCUAUCAGAUUGCUUUCUGUGAUGAGAUAGCCAGCACUUAAGGAGAGAGCAGUGGGUGACAUGAACCCUUUCAGCAAACACUUUAACACAGCCUCCCAUAGUUUUCUUCCCACCAGGAUGCUAAGAGAUGAGGAUGAAUAGGUGGAUAUUAAAGUUUGUGGAAAAGAGUCUGGAGUGCUGGGCUCAGCAAGCUACCACUGGUGUAAACAAUCCUAUUUUGAGCAGGGUGGUGAACUGCGUGACUUCCACUCUAAGUUGUUCUAGGUGAGUCUGCAAUUGUAAACAUUUUUGUUGCAGGCAUUCAGACAGAAAGCGUAUUUAAAUGUUUCAGUCUUCUUACUUUCUUCUUAAAGUGUAUUGCUGCUCAUGGUCUUUGUGGUUUUAUAAGGCAGAUCAAAUUUAUACUUGUAAGAUUACUUUAUGACGUACCUCAA